AACGAAUCUUCCGCAAUGCACGAAAGUGUGACGGAGCGACGCCGCGUGUGGGACGAAGUCCUUCGGGAUGUAAACCACUGUCAGGGGUUACCACGUUCUGAGGAGCCCCAGAGGAAGGCACGGCUAACUCUGUGCCAGCAGCCGCGGUAAGACAGAGGUGCCAAGCGUUAGGCGGAAUCACUGGGCUUAAAGCGUGUGUAGGCGGAUCGUUAAGUACCUUGUGAAAUCCCACGGCUCAACCGUGGAACUGCUCGGUAUACUGGGUGUCUUGAGCCACUUAGGGGCUACCGGAACAAAUGGUGGAGCGGUGAAAUGCGUAGAUAUCAUUUGGAACGCCAAUGGUGAAAACAGGUAGCUGGGAGUGUGCUGACGCUGAGACACGAAAGCCAGGGGAGCAAAC
rnacentral:rRNA from 1 species